rnacentral:tRNA from 1 species
CAGGAUGUAGUUUAAUAAAAAAUAUUAAUUUUGGAGAUUAAUGAUAGUAAGAAAUCUUUUCCUGA